rnacentral:rRNA from 1 species
UAAGCCUGCUGCUUGGGGAGUACGGUCGCAAGACUGAAACUUAAAGGAAUUGGCGGGAGAGCACAGCAACGGGAGGAGCGUGCGGUUUAAUUGGAUUCAACGCCGGAAAACUCACCAGGAGCGACGGUUACAUGAAGGCCAGGCUGAUGACCUUGCCUGAUUUUCCGAGAGGUGGUGCAUGGCCGCCGUCAGUUCGUACCGUGAGGCGUUCUCUUAAGUGAGAUAACGAACGAGACCCUCGCCCCUAUUUGCCACCCCUCUCUUCGGAGAUGGAGCACUAUAGGGGGACCGCUGGCGCUAAGUCAGAGGAAGGAGAGGUCAACGGUAGGUCAGUAUGCCCCGAAUCUCCUGGGCUACACGCGCGCUACAAAGGACAGGACAAUGGGCUGCAACACCGAGAGGUGAAGCCAAUCCCGAAACCUGUUCGUAGUCCGGAUUGAGGGUUGUAACUCACCCUCAUGAAGCUGGAUUCCGUAGUAAUCGCGGAUCAACAUCCCGCGGUGAAUGUGCCCCUGCUCUUUGCACACACCGCCCGUCAAACCAUCCGAGUUGGGUUCG